GGAGGAUGCAAGCGUUGUUCGGAAUUACUGGGCGUAAAGGGCGCGUAGGCGGUUUGAUAAGUCAAAUGUGAAAGCCCACGGCUUAACCGUGGAGGUGCAUUUGAAACUGUCAGACUUGAGUACCAGAGGGGAAAGUGGAAUUCCCGGUGUAGAGGUGAAAUUCGUAGAUAUCGGGAGGAAUACCGGUGGCGAAGGCGACUUUCUGGCUGGAUACUGACGCUGAGGCGCGAAAGCGUGGGGAGCAAACAGGAUUAGAUACCCUGGUAGUCCACGCUGUAAACGAUGUCAACUAGAUGUGGGGGGUGUUGUUCCCUUCUGUGUCGCAGCUAACGCAUUAAGUUGACCGCCUGGGGAGUACGGUCGCAAGAUUA
rnacentral:rRNA from 1 species